rnacentral:tRNA from 1 species
CUUUCUGUGGCUUAGUUGGUGAAAGUUCCGGAUCAGCGAUACAGAGUCGUGGGUUCGAAUCCCUCCAGAACCA